rnacentral:rRNA from 1 species
GACGAACGCUGGCGGCGUGCCUAAUACAUGCAAGUAGAACGCACAGUUUAUACCGUAGCUUGCUACACCAUAGACUGUGAGUUGCGAACGGGUGAGUAACGCGUAGGUAACCUGCCUGGUAGCGGGGGAUAACUAUUGGAAACGAUAGCUAAUACCGCAUAAUAUUGAUUAUUGCAUGAUAAUUAAUUGAAAGGUGCAAUUGCACCACUACCAGAUGGACCUGCGUUGUAUUAGCUAGUAGGUGAGGUAACGGCUCACCUAGGCGACGAUACAUAGCCGACCGGAGAGGGUGAGUGGCCACACUGGGACUGAGACACGGCCCAGACUCCUACGGGAGGCAGCAGUAGGGAAUCUUCGGCAAUGGGCGAAAGUCUGACCGAGCAACGCCGCGUGAGUGAAGAAGGUUUUCGGAUCGUAAAGCUCUGUUGUAAGAGAAGAACGGGUGUGAGAGUGGAAAGUUCACACUGUGACGGUAUCUUACCAGAAAGGGACGGCUAACUACGUG